rnacentral:rRNA from 1 species
AUUGAACGCUGGCGGCAGGCCUAACACAUGCAAGUCGAGCGGAGCGGCGGACGGGUGAGUAAUGCCUAGGAAUCUGCCUGGUAGUGGGGGAUAACGUCCGGAAACGGGCGAUAAUACCGCAUACUAUCAGAUGAGCCUAGGUCGGAUUAGCUAGUUGGUGGGGUAAAGGCCUACCAGGCCGACGAUCCGUAACUGGUCUGAGAGGAGGAUCAGUCACACUGGAACUACGACACGGUCCAGACUCCUACGGUAGGCAGCAGUGGGGAAUAUUGGACAAUGGGCGAAAGCCUGAUCCAGCCAUUCCGCGUGUGUGAAGAAGGUCUUCGGAUUUUAAAGCACUUUAAGUUGGGAGGCGUUACCUGCAGAAUAAGCACCGGCUAACUUCGUGCCAGCAGCCGCGGUAAUUC